rnacentral:rRNA from 1 species
CAGCAGGCACGCAAAUUACCCAAUCCCAGCUCGGGGAGGUAGUGACGAAAAAUAACAAUACGGUACUCUAACGAGUGUGCGUAAUUGGAAUGAGAACACACUAAAUCUUUUAUCAAACUUCAAUUGGAGGGCAAGUCUGGUGCCAGCAGCCGCGGUAAUUCCAGCUCCAAUAGCAUAUACUAAAGUUGUUGCGGUUAAAAAGCUCCUAGUUUGAGCUUGCUUCGGACCGGCCGUGUGGGUCACCGCCUGGUGCCUGCUUCGGCCGGCUCCGGACUGUUUCUGUUGACUAGAAUGGCUCCGGCUGUGUGCGGUGCUCUUAACCGAGUGUCGCGUGUGGCCGGGCAGUUUACCUUGAACAAAUGAGAGUGCUCAAAGCAGGCUACUCUUAAGCAUGAAGCCCGAAUGUUACCUGCAUGGAAUAAUGGAAGAUGAUCUCGGUCCCAUGUUUGUUGGGCUCUUGGGACCCGAGUUAAUGAUAAACAGGGACUGUCGGGGGCAUCCGUACUACGACGCGAGAGGUGAAAUUCUGUGACCGUCGUAGGACGAACAACAGCGAAAGCAUUUGCCAAGAAUGUCUUCGUUGAUCAAGAACGAAAGUUAGAGGAUCGAAGGCGAUCAGAUACCGCCCUAGUUCUAACCCUAAACGAUGCUGACUAGCAAUUCGCCGUCGUUAUUCCCAUGACGUGGCGAGACGCCCCCGGGAAACCUCAAGUUUUUGAGUUCCGGGGGUAGUAUGGUCGCAAAACUGAAACUUAAAGGAAUUGACGGAAGGGCACCACCAGGAGUGGAGGCCUGCGGCUUAAUUUGACUCAACACGGGAAACCUCACCAGGCCCGGACACCAGAAGGAUUGACAGAUUAAGAGCUCUUUCUCGAUUUGGUGGAUGGUGGUGCAUGGCCGUUCUUAGUUGGUGGAGUGAUUUGUCUGGUUAAUUCCGGUAACGAACGAGACUCUGGCCUAUUAAAUAGUCGACGGGGAAGGGUAUUGUCGCAAUUUCCCCGUUCGACAGGUUCUUCUUAGAGGGAUGAGCAGCGAGUCUAGCUGCAGGAGAUUGAGCAAUAACAGGUCUGUGAUGCCCUGAGAUGUGCUGGGCCGCACGCGCGCUACACUGAAUGGGUCAGCGGGUGUUCCUUCUCCGAGAGGAGCGGGAAAUCUGUUGAACUCCAUUCGUGAUAGGGAUUGGGGCUUGCAAUUGUUUCCCAUGAACGAGGAAUUCCCAGUAAGCGCAAUUCAUCAUAUUGCGUUGAUUAAGUCCCUGCCCUUUGUACACACCGCCCGUCGCUACUACCGAUUGAAUGAUUUAGUGAGGCCUUCGGACUGGCGGUCCUGGAUUGGGUUCCAUUGGCUGCUGUUGCAGCCGUGGAGCCGCCGGGACUUGACGGAAAGAUGGCCAAACUUGAUCAUUUAGAGGAAGUAAAAGUCGUAACAAGGUUUCC